GCCCGUAUAGAUCAACACUAGAUCAUCUCUUCACAAUUAUCGGCGCGUACAUUCAGUCUGAUACGGAGAAGACGGAGGUUCAAAUCCUCCUGCGGGCA